rnacentral:misc_RNA from 1 species
UCAUUAUGAUUUAUUGAUAUAGUGCAACUAUAAGUUUUUAUUAAUGUGGACUUUCUACGUAAACACCUAAAGAGGAGGCAUUUUAACGCUCGACUAAAAAUUCACAGUUACAAGUUGAUUUAAUAAACAUGCAUAGAAAUGUUCACUUGACUGUUGGCAAACAAAAACAAACGAUGACUAAGUGACUAAUUGAUUAAUUGAAGCAGAAUGAAAGAAUGGAAAUGGUGGAUGACUGAUUACCGCUUCGUUGAGCUGAUGUUAAGUUCGUGUGACUUGAAAUGGUUGGCCGCACUGAACGCCGAUGGGUGUGCUAAUGUUUGAUAAGCACAUGAAUACAAAUAUGUUUUUGUUAAUAUUAAGUGUACAGAUAUUUUUGGUAGUGAGGUUUUUAACUACUUCAAAUAUAUUAAUUUUGGAUUUUAUGUACUUUUGUGGUACCAAAAAAGUUAUUGACUAGUUUUAGGUUGAUUUGUAAAUGUGAAAUAUAUUUCUUUCUGACUAGAAA